AUGCAUGUAAAUCCAGUUUCUACCCCAGUGCUGCUGGCCACAUGAGAAAGGAUCCUGGCCCAUCUGCUCUGAAAUGAACGAGGUGAGAGGCCGCAGCCUCCCACCCACCCCAUGAAGAUUCCAGAGGCAAUCCACACACACUAGAUCAGGCUCGCUCCUGCCCCCAGUGUCCACUAUUGGGGGUGGCUCUUUUGAUAUGAGAUAGAGAUUUUGGGUUUUCCUUUAACGAGCAUGCUUGGGUUUAGAGAAAGAGAGAGCCACGCUCCAACUCCAAAAAGCAAUUUGUAAUCUGCAAGAAGGCAAAAUAUUCUUUACUUCUUCAAACAUUUUUUCUAAGAUUUCUCUUUAAUGACAAAUAUAGCAAAGUUCCAAGGACUGGUUGAUUGUUCAAUAUAUUAAGCAUUUAUCUGCUCCUGUACAAGCUGUUCCAGUGCUUAUAAUUUUUCUGAUGUCAAAGGCCAUUGUUCCAUCCCAAUAGAUUUGUCAGUUAACCAUUUUAAAGCUCAAGGGACUGACGUGCUGGAACUUUCUUUGGGAAGUCAUAAAAAUGCACACAUAUACACAGAGAAGAAUCUGGAAGAGUGGAUCUCAAGGUGCUCGGAGUAGCUGUGAGUGGGUGGGUUCCUCAUUUUUGCCCAUGUACUUUCUGUAAUGUUCAUUUAGACAGUAAAAUUACUAGAUAAAAAAAUAAAACAAAGCUAUGAAAGAA